rnacentral:rRNA from 1 species
GACGAACGCUGGCGGCGUGCUUAACACAUGCAAGUCGAACGAAGAGCGAUGGAAGCUUGCUUCUAUCAAUCUUAGUGGCGAACGGGUGAGUAACGCGUAAUCAACCUGCCCUUCAGAGGGGGACAACAGUUGGAAACGACUGCUAAUACCGCAUACGAUCUAAUCUCGGCAUCGAGGAUAGAUGAAAGGUGGCCUCUACAUGUAAGCUAUCACUGAAGGAGGGGAUUGCGUCUGAUUAGCUAGUUGGAGGGGUAACGGCCCACCAAGGCGAUGAUCAGUAGCCGGUCUGAGAGGAUGAACGGCCACAUUGGGACUGAGACACGGCCCAGACUCCUACGGGAGGCAGCAGUGGGGAAUCUUCCGCAAUGGACGAAAGUCUGACGGAGCAACGCCGCGUGAGUGAUGACGGCCUUCGGGUUGUAAAGCUCUGUUAAUCGGGACGAAAGGCCUUCUUGCGAAUAGUUAG